rnacentral:piRNA from 1 species
UGCGCUCCCUGCUCCCCGCUCACCCCCAGGU